rnacentral:rRNA from 1 species
GAUGAACGCUGGCGGCGUGCCUAAUACAUGCAAGUCGAGCGAACAGACGAGGAGCUUGCUCCUCUGACGUUAGCGGCGGACGGGUGAGUAACACGUGGAUAACCUACCUAUAAGACUGGGAUAACUUCGGGAAACCGGAGCUAAUACCGGAUAAUAUAUUGAACCGCAUGGUUCAAUAGUGAAAGACGGUUUUGCUGUCACUUAUAGAUGGAUCCGCGCCGCAUUAGCUAGUUGGUAAGGUAACGGCUUACCAAGGCGACGAUGCGUAGCCGACCUGAGAGGGUGAUCGGCCACACUGGAACUGAGACACGGUCCAGACUCCUACGGGAGGCAGCAGUAGGGAAUCUUCCGCAAUGGGCGAAAGCCUGACGGAGCAACGCCGCGUGAGUGGUGAAGGUCUUCGGAUCGUAGAACUCUGUUAUUAGGGAAGAACAAAUGUGUAAGUAACUAUGCACGUCUUGACGGUACCUAAUCAGAAAGCCACGGCUAACUACGUG